GAAAACCUCAUGCUAAUUAUUCUGACUUUUUAUUUUUCUUAAGGCAUAGAUAUAUAGAUAUAUAGAUAUAUAAUACUGGGUCAAACCUUUCCAAAAUUGAAAACUCAAUAAAGGUAAUACUUUAAAUUUAAAAUGUAAAGUUACAUUUUAGUAUAACACUCAUGCUGAAGUAAAAUUGAUCCUGGGGAGAAACAAAAAAUGUAUCAAGUAUAAAAUGAAAUUGCAAUGACUUGAAUCUGUUUUACUGACCUUACUAUUUGUUAUGUUUGUUUAACUUGGAUUCAGGUCACUGUGUUAAUUAUUAAAGCAGUGGAUAGUGCUGGGAUUUUACCUUUAAGCAAAUAGAGUAUGUCACCGUUGAAAAGAACUGGUGAUUAGCUUUGGCACUGUGUAAGCAGUGGCUGAAGGGUUUAAAUUGUAUUUAACCAUUUUAAUUGCUGUAUAUAUUUAUUAUAUGGAGCCAUUUGUGUCUGUGUGUACAUGUAACUUGGAAUUUCCUUCUUCCCUGCCAGUUUUCAUAGACCAGCUUAUUGCAUCAAAUGAAGGUAGACACUUUCUGCUGGAACAUCAAGUAUAAGACAUCAAAAUGCCAGAAAAUAGCUUUUUUACCUGCAUCCUGUCCAGCAUUGCAGUGUCAGAAACUUGAAAUUUGUCCUUUGCUUGUGAUGUUUGGAUCAUCAGAUGAUUUUAGCUACUUUUAAAGAGCCUAACAAUCAUGGCAGCCAUGACCGUUUCCACACUUACGUUAAGGAGCCCCACCUGUCUUUCAUUUCUCAAAGAACUUAUCUGAGAGGGAACAAAAUGAAAGUUCUGGGGAUUUGUGCCUCUUGCUCACCAUAAAUAAUCACUGCAAUCUUUCUUUUUUCUUUCCUUUUUUUGUAUGUGUGCGUGUGUGUGUGUGUGUGUGUGUGUGUGUGUGUGUGUGUAUGUAAAGUUUUAUUCUCCAAAUAAGCUACCCUGAAGAUAAAAAUGAGACAUUCUUGGUACUCUUUAUUUAAACUUGCUUGGAUAAGUACUGAAUUAAAGUACAAACCUCAUAGGAAAUUUGCCCUUAUGUGUUACGAAGGAGGAGGAGGAGACACUAUAUUUCAACAAAUGAAACUUGUUAAUCAGCUUAAUAAAAUGAAGUUGAUGUGUUCCCAUGGUGGAUUAGACUCUGUAAUAAAGUGAUGUAUAGUUCACUGGUCACUCAUGCAGCAGUUAGCAUUUUAUUUCUUCAUGGCUAUGCUCAAGUUUACAAACACUGAAGUGCAGUGCCUGCAGGUGUUGCCCAACCUAGAAUGCAUGCAAACUAACACUGAUGUUACAUGUUAAAUGUUGCAGAGGGUGUUUGGACUGUGACUGAUCAGAGUGGAAGCUUAAUAUGGUCGUGGAAAAGCAUGAAGUAAGGUGUCAGUAGCAGCUGUCCCUACCAGUCUGUGUCUUUGGAGUAAUGCUGUCAACUCUUCAGUUCCUCAAAAGGGAAAAUAAAUGCUGUUGAUC
rnacentral:lncRNA from 1 species